CAGCAGGCGCGAAAACUUUGCAAUGCGGGAAACCGUGACAAGGGAACUCUGAGUGCCCGUAAAAUCGGGCUGUCCAUCGGUUUAAAAAACCGGUGAAGAAAGGGCCGGGCAAGACCGGUGCCAGCCGCCGCGGUAAUACCGGCGGCUCGAGUGGUGGCCACUAUUACUGGGCUUAAAGCGUUCGUAGCUGGUUUGUUAAGUCUCUGGGGAAAUCUUCCGGCUUAACCGGAAGGCGUCUCAGGGAUACUGGCAGACUAGGGACCGGGAGAGGUGAGAGGUACUCCAGGGGUAGGAGUGAAAUCCUGUAAUCCUUGGGGGACCACCUGUGGCGAAGGCGUCUCACCAGAACGGCUCCGACAGUGAGGGACGAAAGCUGGGGGAGCAAACCGGAUUAGAUACCCGGGUAGUCCCAGCUGUAAACGAUGCGCGUUAGGUGUAUCAGCGACCACGAGUCGCUGAGGUGCCGAAGAGAAAUCGUGAAACGUGCCGCCUGGGAAGUACGGUCGCAAGGCUGAAACUUAAAGGAAUUGGCGGGGGAGCAC
rnacentral:rRNA from 1 species